UACGGAAGGUGCAAGCGUUUGUUCGGAAUGACUGGGCGUAAAGCGCACGUAGGCGGUCUCGCAAGUCGGAUGUGAAAUCCCUAGGCUCAACCUGGGAACUGCACUCGAAACUGCUUGACUUGAAUGCUUGAGAGGUUGGUGGAAUUCCAGGUGUAGGAGUGAAAUCCGUAGAUAUCUGGAGGAACAUCGGAGGCGAAGGCGGCCAACUGGCAAUGCAUUGGACGCUGAGGUGCGAAAGCGCUGGGG
rnacentral:rRNA from 1 species